rnacentral:rRNA from 1 species
UGAAACCGUGUACGUACAAGCAGUGGGAGCCUCUUAAUGGGGUGACUGCGUACCUUUUGUAUAAUGGGUCAGCGACUUAUAUUCUGUAGCAAGGUUAACCGAAUAGGGGAGCCGAAGGGAAACCGAGUCUUAACUGGGCGUUAAGUUGCAGGGUAUAGACCCGAAACCCGGUGAUCUAGCCAUGGGCAGGUUGAAGGUUGGGUAACACUAACUGGAGGACCGAACCGACUAAUGUUGAAAAAUUAGCGGAUGACUUGUGGCUGGGGGUGAAAGGCCAAUCAAACCGGGAGAUAGCUGGUUCUCCCCGAAAGCUAUUUAGGUAGCGCCUCGUGAAUUCAUCUCCGGGGGUAGAGCACUGUUUCGGCAAGGGGGUCAUCCCGACUUACCAACCCGAUGCAAACUGCGAAUACCGGAGAAUGUUAUCACGGGAGACACACGGCGGGUGCUAACGUCCGUCGUGAAGAGGGAAACAACCCAGACCGCCAGCUAAGGUCCCAAAGUCAUGGUUAAGUGGGAAACGAUGUGGGAAGGCCCAGACAGCCAGGAUGUUGGCUUAGAAGCAGCCAUCAUUUAAAGAAAGCGUAAUAGCUCACUGGUCGAGUCGGCCUGCGCGGAAGAUGUAACGGGGCUAAACCAUGCACCGAAGCUGCGGCAGCGACGCUUAUGCGUUGUUGGGUAGGGGAGCGUUCUGUAAGCCUGUGAAGGUGUGCUGUGAGGCAUGCUGGAGGUAUCAGAAGUGCGAAUGCUGACAUAAGUAACGAUAAAGCGGGUGAAAAGCCCGCUCGCCGGAAGACCAAGGGUUCCUGUCCAACGUUAAUCGGGGCAGGGUGAGUCGACCCCUAAGGCGAGGCCGAAAGGCGUAGUCGAUGGGAAACAGGUUAAUAUUCCUGUACUUGGUGUUACUGCGAAGGGGGGACGGAGAAGGCUAUGUUGGCCGGGCGACGGUUGUCCCGGUUUAAGCGUGUAGGCUGGUUUUCCAGGCAAAUCCGGAAAACCAAGGCUGAGGCGUGAUGACGAGGCACUACGGUGCUGAAGCAACAAAUGCCCUGCUUCCAGGAAAAGCCUCUAAGCAUCAGGUAACAUCAAAUCGUACCCCAAACCGACACAGGUGGUCAGGUAGAGAAUACCAAGGCGCUUGAGAGAACUCGGGUGAAGGAACUAGGCAAAAUGGUGCCGUAACUUCGGGAGAAGGCACGCUGAUAUGUAGGUGAAGCGACUAGCUCGUGGAGCUGAAAUCAGUCGAAGAUACCAGCUGGCUGCAACUGUUUAUUAAAAACACAGCACUGUGCAAACACGAAAGUGGACGUAUACGGUGUGACGCCUGCCCGGUGCCGGAAGGUUAAUUGAUGGGGUUAGCGGCAACGCGAAGCUCUUGAUCGAAGCCCCGGUAAACGGCGGCCGUAACUAUAACGGUCCUAAGGUAGCGAAAUUCCUUGUCGGGUAAGUUCCGACCUGCACGAAUGGCGUAAUGAUGGCCAGGCUGUCUCCACCCGAGACUCAGUGAAAUUGAACUCGCUGUGAAGAUGCAGUGUACCCGCGGCAAGACGGAAAGACCCCGUGAACCUUUACUAUAGCUUGACACUGAACAUUGAGCCUUGAUGUGUAGGAUAGGUGGGAGGCUUUGAAGUGUGGACGCCAGUCUGCAUGGAGCCGACCUUGAAAUACCACCCUUUAAUGUUUGAUGUUCUAACGUUGGCCCGUAAUC